CAACUGCAUACAUUGUAACAGUUUCUGUCAGAGCAUUCUCUGGAGAAGAGGACACUAGUUUAAUAUUGUCUUUUAAAACCAAAGGUUUGAUUAACGUGUGUCUGAACAAUCCGUGUGGAGCCAAUGCCUCCUGUAUCCAGCAGGACGGAAGCUUCAGAUGCUCCUGUGGGACUGGCUACACCUGGAAUGGAUCUGUCUGUACAGAUGUGAAUGAAUGUGAAAGUGGAAGCCACGACUGUCACAGCUCGGCCUCCUGUUUCAACAGCCCCGGCUCUUUCCAAUGUGUGUGUGAGGCUGGCUACACUGGGGAUGGGAGGAACUGUACAGAUGUGAAUGAAUGUGAAAGUGGAAGCCACGACUGUCACAGCUCAGCCUCCUGUUUCAACAGCCCCGGCUCUUUCCAAUGUG